rnacentral:rRNA from 1 species
UACGGAGGGUGCAAACGUUGCUCGGAAUCAUUGGGCGUAAAGCGCACGUAGGUGGUCUGUUAAGUCUGAUGUGAAAGCCCUGGGCUCAACCCAGGAAGUGCAUCGGAAACUGGCAGGCUUGAGUAUGGAAGAGGGUCGCGGAAUUCCCUGUGUAGCGGUGAAAUGCGUAGAGAUGGGGGAGAACACUCGUGGCGAAGGCGGCCAGCUAGACCAGUUCUGACACUGAGGCGCGACAGCGUGGGGAGCAAACAGG